UACGAGGGGUGCAAGCGUUGCUCGGAAUUAUUGGGCGUAAAGGGUUGGUAGGUGGUCUUGUUUGUCUAGGGUGAAAUCCCAUGGCUUAACUGUGGAAGUGCCCUAGAAACGGCAAGACUAGAGUCCUAGAGGGGUUUGUGGAAUUCCCGGUGUAGCGGUGAAAUGCGUAGAGAUCGUGAGGAAGACCAGUGGCGAAGGCGGGUCUCUGGACAGUUCCUGACACUGAGGCACGAAGGCCAGGGGAGCAAACGGG
rnacentral:rRNA from 1 species